rnacentral:lncRNA from 1 species
AGUGCUGGUCGCGCUCUGGCUGGGCACGAACGUAGAGGUCAGGCUAGGGCUGACGAUGCUGGCUAAGCGGGGGCGCACGUCUGGGAAGUCGUCGUCGUAGUCACCGAUGUCCGUGACCUUCCAGAGGUAAUCCACCCGCCUUGGCCUCCCAAAGUGCUGGGAUUACAGGUGUGAGCCACCAUGCCCAGCCAGAAACUGCCACUUUUAAACCAUCAGAUCUCAUUGAGAACUCCCUCACUAUCACGAGAACCGCAUGAGGGAAACCACCCCCAUGAUCUGAUCACCUCCCACCAGGUCCUGCCCUCAACAUGUGGGGAUUACAAUUCAAGAUGAGAUUUGGGUCAGGAAACAGAGCCAAACCAUAUCAAGAGCCUCUGGUAACCACUGUUCUACUCAAUACUUCUAUGAGGUGAACUUCUUUGGAUUCCACAUAUGAUCAAGAUCAUGAGGAGGAGCAAGUCUUCUUUGUCAUGCUAUUAAGAAAAUACCCAGAGUCACAGCACCAUGAUCUCCUUGUGAAGCAGAACAAGUAAUAUAAAACUGAUCUAAAGAGGCCUCCCCUCUACUCUUAUCUGUCUGGUCGAGUCAUUUGGGUCCAAGUGGGCACCAUUGUGGGAGGGUGGGAGGACUCAUCACUGGGGGCCCAGGCAUCAUUGGCAUGUGGCCUCCUGUGUUAGUUUGUUCUCAUGCUGCAAAUAAAGACAACUUGAGACUGGAUAAUUUAUAAAGGAAAGAGGUUUAAUGGACUCACAGUUCCACAUGGCUAAGGAGUACUCACAAUCAUGGCGGAAGACAAAGGAAGAGCAAAGGGACAUCUUACAUGGCAGCAGGCAAGAGAGCGUGUGCAGGGGAAGUCCCCUUUAUAAAACCAUCAGAUCUCAUGAGACUUAUUCACUAUCGCGAGAACAGCAUGAGAAAAACCCACCCCCAUGAUUCAAUUACCUCCCACCGUGUCCCUCCCAUGUCAUGUGAAGAUUAUUACAACUCAAGGUUGUCAAGGGGAGGCAGGCGCUGAACAAUAAAAAAAAAUAUGUAAUCACAAUUGUGGUGCCAUGAAGGAAAAGAAAUAGGGUGCACCGCAAGAGAAUAUUGAAGAGCUGUGAUGCCAAUGAUUUUCAUGUCAAAAGAGCCUCUGCCUAUGUGUAGAAUACAUU